GUUACACUGAUGACAUCAUUUGACUUCCUGUUACCUUUUUCCUGAAGGUCCAUGAAGAAAAGCAUCGGGUCUUGGAGCAUCGAGACCCUCUCUGAUCCUGCCAGAAAGAGACGGCACAGACAGAGUCUGCCCCCUGGACAACCAGACCGGGAUCCAACUGGUGGUGGCGGUGAGGAAGGAGGGGAACGUUAAAAUGUAGGCACCUGAAAGCAGCACACUAUGUAGGGAGAGGGACGCCCGUGAGAAGCAUGAAAUUUAUGCCUACAGAGUGUGUCUGCAUGCAAGAGUUGUGAUCUUCUGAUGACUGGGCCAGUGCUUCCAGCGGUCUUCAAACCUGGACCUUGUAUCCAGUUUCAAUUCCUGGAUUUUACAGGCACUACUUCUGGAUUUGGACUGCAGGUAAUUGUUGUUGACUCUGGAGUGCAGUUUUGGCUGUAUGGCAGAAAGCUGGCACUGAUGCUGAGAGACCACGCUGUCCAGGCCUGGCCGACAGAGAGGCCGAGCUGGAAAGUGGGAACAGCAUGAUGUCCCACACACAGAAAGGACAUUGAGAUGUUCACUGGUUUGGAUGCGGCCCAUCUGUCUACAGUAAUUGGUGGAAGAGUGGGGGGUGGAUUGUGGAGUGUACUCAGAAAUGCAACAGUUGUAUCUCUGUUAGGGUCCAUGUUUACCUUGAUAUCAACAGAUUCUAAAGAAUUAAUGGAAUGUUCCAGUGCUCUUAUCAUGGAAAAAUGUAUUUUUCUCAAUUUCAUGAAAUAAAACAGUUUCAGGUAGUAAA